rnacentral:sRNA from 1 species
UAUUAAAAAUACGAAAAGGACGGUCGUUGGUAAAAACAAAUAGGUAACCGAUUAAAUUCGAUUUUUUUUCCAACUAUUCGCGCAUUUUAAAUAUUUGAGGGACGGAAAAUGCCAGGUAGCCGGGUUUUAUAAUAUCCGCCUUAUUUUGGGCAAUUUUUGGGAUUAUACGGCCAAAUUUGGGGGUAUAAUCGAGUCCGAUAAUAUUAAAACCGCAAACAAUUAUAUCGUUCCAGCAAUUGGUCGAAUCCCACCGGCCGCCGAUGUUAAUUUUGUAAAUACCGAUUUUGGUCCCGAUAUAAUUAAAAAUAUCCACCGAAAAAAAUGUAAAUAAUUGAAAAUAUUUGGGUAUUUUUUCCUUAUUUCCGUUCGCGUUUUAAAAUAACGUAUUCCAUAUAUAAAAAAACCGUUUAGCAAAAAUUGUUUCGGAAAUUGGUACGAAAUUAGUUCGAAUACGUUUUCGUUCGUUUGUAAAAUGCGGCGACGUAAAUAGUCCGAUUUUUCCUAAAAUAUUAUUUAACCGGAAAUGCGAUUUUAGCAAAACGUCGGUCCAGGUACAGGUGCUAUUUUUGCCUUUUGUCCCGGUUACGUAUAUAAAAUUAAAGCGUUUUUACAAAAAAAUAAACGGAUAUUAGGCAAUUUAAUUUUAAAAAUCGGGUUCGUUAUACGCAUAUCGAAUUGUAAUAUUUGCAGGAACCGUUCCAUUCCCGUAUUAUUUGGUCGCCUUUCCCGCAUUUGGCGGGGUGAAAAACUGGUAUUAUAUUUCGUUUGCAAAGGUUUGCGGCGAAAAAUAAAAAGACGAAUAGCAUUUUUGUAAUAUAUUGAAAAAAAGGUAGCGCCGGGGUUCGAUAAUGGGUACGGGACGUUAAUUUUAUUUAUUAACGAACAAUGGUGGGUGGUUUUAUUCGUUGUGGAAAAUUAAAAAGAUUAGUAAAGUAAUACGAUUGGGAAGUAUUUCGAAAAUUUAGGCGCCCUAGGUAUUAAUAAAAAUAUAUAUGGCAAAUGGAAUAUUUGUCGCAUUAGGCCAAAUUAAGGGAAAUUUGUUUUGUCAAACUAUUAUUUAUACAAAUUGGGUAUUAUAUUGGGAAUUUAAUCAAAUUACGGAUUAUUUAUCGGACCGUAUAUACAAAAUAUAAUACGAUAGCGAGAAAAUAUAAUUACAAAUGCAAUUUUGGAUAUGUUUAAUUGUCGAUUUAAUUGGGUAUUGGUUAACGUCCUAAAUAGGUGGGUGGGCUAUUAAUUAGCGUUAAAAAUGGGCAUCGAAUCCAUUAAUUAACGUAAUAAAAAACAAAAUUUAAACCCCCGGGGCGCUAUAUUUGGUUAGAAAAAAAAACGUCCUGCAAUAAAAUAAUAAUUUUCCAGCAAAAAAUAUUCCUCCUUUAAUAUAAAUAAAUUAACGCCUAAUUUAUAUUUUUUUUAAUUACGUUGGAUAAAUUCUUUUAUUAAUAGGGAAACAGGUCCUGGGCAGCGAAUAACGUAAAAACCCAAUUCGACGGUGCAAUUAUAUUAACGAAUAACCUAUUCCAAAUAUACCGAACGCAAUCCGUACCCCCUAUAUUGGGCGAACAAUUUUUUAUAAUAUAACGCGCCGUUUCCUGAUUUCGAUUCCGACUAUAUUAAUUAGGUGGUUGGGAAAUUUUGCUGGGGAAAUGGUUUUUUAAACCAGCGACCGAAGGGCGGGGUUAUAAUUUUUACGUUAUAUUGGCAAUGGAUUUUUUAAAACAUUUUUUUUGCAAUUAAAAACAAUAUUUAUGCAACCCCAUCGUUUUUUCGAUAAUUCCCUACAAUAAUAAUAAUAAUGCAUUUUUAUAUUUAAUUUAUUUACCCUGGCCGCAUUUUGGUAUUAAUAUGCAAUUAAUUUAUUAUAUAAUACGGCGCAAUCUGGUAUAUCGCUGUAUAGGCGAAUAAUAAUACCGGGUAAAAUGCUGCCUUUUAUCGCUAACCAUUUUAUUUGGGAUAAUAUGGUUAACGUUAUGGGAUACGUUAAAAAUAUCCCAAUUAUUAACAUAUUGCCGAUUACAAAAAGACCUUAACCUUACCCUGGGGAUAAAUAAAGGAGAAAAAAAAUCGAUUAUAAGGUAGGCGUUAUUUAAAUAGUUAACGCCACCACGCGAACCAAUAAUGCGCGUAAAACCGGUAUUUACGCGUUUUACAAUUACCACGUACCGUAUCGUGGCAAUUAACACAGGUUUUAUAGGGGAACGCGGAUAAACCCAUAUCGUUGCCAAAUUUGCGUACCCUUUUAUCGAUCCACAGCUGGAUAUAAAUAUAAAAAAAUAUUUAAAAACCCGUCGGACCAGAAACUGGGUAGCCCUUGUUAAUAUUAUCCCCGGAUUUUAACCAGAUAAAUAUUUAGUUGUUUUUAUAUACCCCGCGAGGACCAGGUUCGAAUCUUUUAGCAAUUUCGCGAAUUUGGUGGAUUGUACCGUAUUGGGAAUGUUUUUUUACAAACCCAGGUUGUAUUAUUUUUGGACAUGGUUUAAACGCCAAUUGUAAAAUAUGCAUUUUUCCUAUAAAUAUAUAUUAAUCUGGUUAGCGGCCAUACGAUAAUAAUUGCGCCAGGGGUCGACCAACCAUCCCCUAUUUGGCAAUUAAUGGUUUAAUUGCCGAAUAUUACAAUAUAAUUGGUAUUAUUCCCAAAACGAUAUAUUUUAUAUAACCUAUUUUUAAAUUUUUAAAAUUUUGCGUUAUUAUUAUUUCCACAUAACGUAUUCUAUUAUAAUAUAAAGUUUUACAAUAUCGAUUUCCGUUUCGGAAUAGUUUCGACAAUUAUAAAAUAUCGAAUCCCCAGUUAUAUUUUUUAAAAAUUUAAACAACCAUUUUCGUAAAAUGGCCUGCUAUUUUUUACCGGGUAUUCGGUUUUUAUUUCAGUUACCGGCGUAUUUUGGAAUAAUUCCGCAUCGUCCCAGUUUCCAACUAUAAUAGUUAUAAUACCUGGACGGCCAAAAACAGGCCAAUUUCGAUAACGGCCAACCCGGAUUCGUAUUACGCAAAUAAAACCACCCGUCUUUUUUCCUAAUAUAAAACGCCUAUAUUUAAUUGCCGGAUAAACAAUUUUCGAUUUACAAUAUAUAUUUAACACCGUAUACGGUUAAGUAAUAUAACCGCAAUGAAAGUUCGUUUAUAACGGUUAGCGGGCAACGUUUCAAAUAUUAACGCGCGUCCGUGGUAUGUUUUUUCGGUUUAAAUGCCCAUUUCGCCAAAUAAAUAAUUAACAAAUGGUGGCUUAUAAAUUUAUAAACGAUACCGAAAUCGCAGGGCCAGGUAUAAUAAAUAAAAACCAUGCAAAAAUUGCAAAAAGAAAAACGAAAUUUGCAAUUAUAAAAAACCAAUGGUUAAAUAGUACGAACUAAAUAUUUAU